rnacentral:rRNA from 1 species
AUUGAACGCUGGCGGCAGGCCUAACACAUGCAAGUCGAGCGAGCGGCGGAUGGGUGACGAAUAUAUGGGGUCUGCCCGAUUGAGGGGGAUAACUACAGGAAACGGUAGCUAAUUCCGCAUACUAUCGGAUAAUCUAGAUGGGAUUAGCUAGUAGGUGAGGUAAUGGCUCACCUAGGCGACGAUCACUAGCUGGUCUGAGAGGAUGAUCAGCCACACUGGGACUGAGAUACGGCCCAGACUCCUACGGAGGCAGCAGUGGGGAAUAUUGCACAAUGGGCGCAAGCCUGAUGCAGCCAUGCCGCGUGUAUGAAGAAGGCCCUAGGGUUGUAAAGUACUUUCAGUCGGGAGGCGUUACCAACAGAAGAAGCACCGGCUAACUCCGUGCCAGCAGCCGCGGUAAUUC